AAUGGACGGAAGUCAGACGCAGCGACGCCGCGUGGGUGAAGAAGGCCUUCGGGUUGUAAAGCCCUUUACUGUGGGAAGAGGAAGGACGGUACCAUAGGAAUAAGCGUCGGCUAACUACGUGCCAGCAGCCGGGGUAAGACGUAGGACGCGAGCGUAAUCCGGAUUUACUGGGCGUAAAAGCGUAGUGUAGGCGGCGUGACAAGUUGGGCGUGAGAGCCCCGUGCUCAAGGCGGGGGAGGCCGGACAAAUAUUGUCAGGCUAGAGGGCAUCAGAGGGGUGUGGAAUUCCCGGAGUAGCGGUAAAAUGCGCCGAUAUCGGGAGGAACACCGCGUAGGCGAAAGCGGCACCCUGGGGUGCACACAGACGCUGAGAGACGACAAGCUAGGGUACGAACAGGAUUAGAGACCCUGGUAGUCCUAGCCGUAAACGAUGGAUGCUAGGUGUGGGAGUGAAGAACUUCUGCGCCGCAGCGAACGCGAUAAAGCAUCCCGCCUGGGGAGUACGACCGCAAGGUUAAACUCAAACGAAUUGACGGGGACCCGCACAAGCAGCGGAGCGUGUGGUUUAAUUCGAUGCUACACGAAGUACCUUACCUGGGAUUGACAUAUGGGUGGUAGUGAGCCGAAAGGCAAGCGACCCUUCGGGGAGCCUAUACAGGUGCUGCAUGGCUGUCGUCAGCUCGUGCCGUGAGGUGUCGGGUUAAGGCCCGUAACGAGCGCAACCCCUGUCCUUAGUUACAAGUGUCUAAGGGGACUGCCGGCGGGAAGCCGGAGGAAGGUGGGGAUGACGUCAAGUCAGCAUGGCCCUUAUAUCCAGGGCGACACACACGCUACAAUGGUCGGUACAG
rnacentral:rRNA from 1 species